UAAAUUUCCUUAUUUUAUAUGUAAAAAUAAAUUUUAUUUAUUUAUUUAUUUAUUUGAGACCGAGUUUCACUCUUGUUACCCAGGCUGGAGUGCAAUGGCAUGAUCUUAGCUCACCGCAACCUCCGCCUCCUGGGUUCAAGCAAUUCUCCUGCCUCAGCCUCCUGAGUAGCUGGGAUUACAGGCACGCGCCACCAUGCCCAGCUAAUUUUUUGUGCUUUUAGUAGAGACGGAGUUUCACCAUGUUGAGCAGGAUGGUCUCGAUCUCUUGACCUUGUGAUCCACCUGCCUUGGCCUCCCAAAGUGCUGGGAUUACAGGCGUGAGCCACCGCGCCCAGCCCAAAAAUAAAUUUUUAAUCUAUAUAUUACUCUGCCUCUAUGGAUCUGCCUGGCACAGCCCACUCAGCUGCUUUCACAGGCUGACAUUGAGUGUCUACGGCUUUUCCAAGUCUGUUCCAGACUCAGAACAGAGCGACUCAGACUUGGAACACAGCGACUCAGAAUCAGGACACAGUGACUCAGACUCGGGACACAGCGACUCAGACUCGGAAGUGCCUCUUGACACAACUCAAAUACUUACACAGUACAUGGGACCCUCCAUAAUACAACCUCUGACUGAAUGAUCCAUUCCAAGAAAGAAGUGAGAGGACAUCUUCUGGAUGGGCAGAGCUCCCAGUGUUGGAUUUGGUCAGCUACUUUAUAUGGAAAGAUAAACAGGCUGAGGAUCCUCGUGCCAAGAAACCAGCAGGAAUUGAAGGGAGGCACCACCCUGGAAGAAGUAAUUGAUAUGGUCUUCAGGAGGAGGAAGAGCAGCUGCUACCCAAUCAGAGCAGGAUAGGAUAUGUUUGGCCCUCUGUUCGUGCUGCCAUGCCCAGUUUUAACGGAAUAUAGGAAAAUACAAUGCCUGAGGAUAGCACAGUAACCCGGAACUCAAACAGCUCAAGAAUGAUGGUGUGCGUCACCUAAUGAGGCAAACUUCCUAUAUGAGCAGAAGUGUGAGCUGAGGGAGAGGAGAUCCUCGAAUGGAUCAUAUAGGAAGGUGGUGUCACUUAUAGUUUUGAAAUCAGCUGCAGCAACAGGGGCCGUCGUUCAUCCACCUUCCGCUUCUCUUCAUAAUUUCCCAAAAAAACAAGACUAAUCAGGAUCCCAGAAAGCUUUGCCCUAGGAAGACAGUAUUUAGGAAGCAAGUGGUUGUGACCCUCUCAGAGUUUAGAUGUAGUGCAUACUCUGUUGCUCACUCAGACCCUCUCUUUAGAGCCAAUUACCUCAGUCCUUUGCUGGGAAUUCCCAUUCACCAGAGGCAGGUGCCUUCAUUUGCAGAACUGUUAUGGAAGAGGCAGCCCAGGUCAAUGACUGUAUGGCAAGGAAAUUUGUCUUAAUUGGAAGAAUUCCAGACCUCCCCCACAGGAUCAACUGGGGCUUCAGGAGGAAACACACCGGAGAUCCCCUUCCCGCUGUUUAAUCCUGCCUGCCUCGUGUCCUUACUAGAGUAUCUCCUGAGAGCAUGUCCCAAAACCCUUUGACCCAAAUUCUCCGUCUCAGAAUCUGUCUCCAGGACUGAGUCUAAGACAUGGGGGCAAACAACAAGCUACUAUAAGCAAAAUGACUGUAGGAGAAGCAGCUGAGACAGUAACAACAGGAAGCUGUUCCAGCCAAGAGGAGGAAAGAAACAUGGUGGAAUCUCCAGGAGCUAGAGGGGUUGAGAGAGGUUUUAUUUCCUUAUUGUUGGUUGAUUGUUUAAGAUAGAAAAGGCUUAAACAUUGCUUACAUUUGAUGGAAUGGAGGGGGAGGAACAGAAGAUACAUAAAAAACAUGAGAAAAAAUGAAUGGUAUGAGGUUACAGAGGCAACAGGAAGGGUUGGAAUCAAAGGCUCAAGUGGAAAGUUAAGGCUUCACCUUGUUUAGAUGGGAUGACUUAAAAAUAUGACAGUGUUUCACAAAUGAUCACUCAUUUCAACAUUAUUCUUGACUAGUUUCUUCUUUCCCCACUUAUAUAAAUUGCUCCUUAUAUCACAAACUAUAUGUGCCUGUGCAUAUUUUUAGGCUCUUCUAUUUCAUAACCUCCUUAUCCCUCAUCCAAUAAUAAGUUGAUAAAAUUACCAUAGGUUUAUAUAACAUUUUGAUCAAUGGCAGGGUAAAAGCUUCUUUCUCAUUGUCCUCCUCUUCUACAAUUUUAAAUUUAUUUUCUAUAUAUCAUAUUAUUACAUACCAGCUCAGCCAGGAGACAGACCCCCACCCAGGCAGCGCUGAAGGAAUGAGAGGCAGACACCCAGAUAGAACAACAGAGUGGGUCUAUAUGGGGCGAGGGGGUGGGAGGGGCCGCAGCCUAUUAAGCUGAAAGCCUCAGGGACUGAUAGCAACCCAAGCUCAAGGCCCUGAGCAGAUUCUGAUCCACGCAUUUAAUUCUCUCUUAACAGGUGAUUAUUACUAAUAAACAAGUGUUCUGUAUUUACUCGUAACUCA
rnacentral:lncRNA from 13 species